rnacentral:rRNA from 1 species
CGGGGAAUCAGGGUUCGAUUCCGGAGAGGGAGCCUGAGAAAUAGCUACCACAUCCAAGGAAGGCAGCAGGCGCGCAAAUUACCCACUCCCGAAACGGGGAGGUAGUGACGAUAAAUAACGAUGCGGGACUCAAUCGAGGCCCCGUAAUUGGAAUGAGUACACUUUAAAUCCUUUAACGAGGAUCAAUUGGAGGGCAAGUCUGGUGCCAGCAGCCGCGGUAAUUCCAGCUCCAAUAGCGUAUAUUAAAGUUGUUGCAGUUAAAAAGCUCGUAGUUGGAUCUCAGGAUUUGGAUGGAUGGUUCGCUUUCGGGCGCUACUAUCUGUCUGACCUACUCUAGUCGUGGAUGCCUUGGGUGCUCUUAAUUGAGUGCUUUUGGUGCCCGACGCAAUUACUUUGAAAAAAAUUAGAGUGCUCAAAGCAGGCGUAUUGCCUGAAUAGUGUUGCAUGGAAUAAUGAAAUAGGAGUUUACUUCUAUUUUGUUGGUUUUCGGAGGUGAACUAAUGAUUAACAGGGACAGACGGGGGCAUUUGUAUGGAGGGGUUAGAGGUGAAAUUCUUGGAUCCUCUCCAGACAAACUACUGCGAAAGCAUUUGCCAGGAAUGUUUUCACUAAUCAAGAACGAAAGUCAGAGGUUCGAAGACGAUCAGAUACCGUCCUAGUUCUGACCAUAAAUGAUGCCAUCUAACAAUCCACGAAGUUUGCUUGUACGAACUCGUGGGCGGUCCCCGGGAAACCAAAGAUUUUGGGUUCCGGGGGAAGUAUGGUUGCAAAGCUGAAACUUAAAGGAAUUGACGGAAGGGCACCACCAGGAGUGGAGCCUGCGGCUUAAUUUGACCCAACACGGGAAACCUCACCCGGCCCGGACACUUUUAGGAUUGACAGAUUGAAGGCUCUUUCUUGAUCAAGUGGUUGGUGGUGCAUGGCCGUUCUUAGUUGGUGGAGCGAUUUGUCUGGUUAAUUCCGAUAACGAACGAGACUCUACUCUGCUAAAUAGAACGUUGAUAUAUAAAAGUCAGUGCUGACUUCUUAGAGAGACUAACGGCGUUUAGCCGUGUGAGAAAGAGCAAUAACAGGUCUGUGAUGCCCUUAGAUGUCCGGGGCCGCACGCGCGCUACACUGACUGCAGCAACUAGUAUGCUCCUGGUUUGAAAAAACUGGGUAACCUGGUUGAAUUGCAGGCGUGACAGGGAUCAGAGUUUGCAAUUAUCCUCUGUGAACGAGGAAUUCCCAGUAAGCGCAAGUCAUUAGCUUGUGCUGAUUACGUCCCUGCCCUUUGUACACACCGCCCGUCGCUACUACCGAUUGAAUGGUUUAGUGAGGUCUUCGGAUUGGUGCUGAUGGAGUGGUUCUCUGCUCUGUUAGUGCCGAGAAGAUGAUCAAACUUGAUCAUUUAGAGGAAGUAAAAGUCGUAACAAGGUU